AGAGUUUGAUCCUGGCUCAGGAUGAACGCCUUUGACAGGCCUAACACAUGCAAGUCGAGGGGCAUCGGGGCGAGGAGCAAUCCUUGCCGCCGGCGACCGGCGCACUGGUGAGUAACGCGUAUGCGACCUGCCCGUUGCAGGGGGAUAAUCGGGAGAAAUCCCGUCUAAUACCGCGUAAUGCCGCGGGGCUGCAUGGCCCUGCGGCCAAAGGGAGCGAUUCCGGCAACGGAUGGGCAUGCGUGACAUUAGCUAGUUGGCGGGGCAACGGCCCACCAAGGCGACGAUGUCUAGGGGUUCUGAGAGGAAGGUCCCCCACACUGGUACUGAGACACGGACCAGACUCCUACGGGAGGCAGCAGUGAGGAAUAUUGGUCAAUGGGCGCGAGCCUGAACCAGCCAAGUCGCGUGAGGGAUGACGGCCCUACGGGUUGUAAACCUCUUUUGUCGGGGAGCAAAUUCCGUUACGUGUAACGGAGUCGAGAGUACCCGAAGAAAAAGCAUCGGCUAACUCCGUGCCAGCAGCCGCGGUAAUACGGAGGAUGCGAGCGUUAUCCGGAUUUAUUGGGUUUAAAGGGUGCGUAGGCGGACUGUCAAGUCAGCGGUAAAAUACGGGGGCUCAACCUCCGCCCGCCGUUGAAACUGACGGUCUUGAGUGGGCGAGAAGUAUGCGGAAUGCGUGGUGUAGCGGUGAAAUGCAUAGAUAUCACGCAGAACUCCGAUUGCGAAGGCAGUAUACCGGCGCCCAACUGACGCUGAAGCACGAAAGCGUGGGUAUCGAACAGGAUUAGAUACCCUGGUAGUCCACGCAGUAAACGAUGAAUACUAGCUGUCCGGGGC
rnacentral:rRNA from 1 species